CUAAAAAGCCUUUAAUGUGAGGUGCCUAUAUGGAAAGCUUCAUUCCGAGGAAAUCUGCACCCAGGCUGGUGUUUGACAUUUUGACUAAAGGACCUAGUUACAUUGUGAAAAGAGGAAGAUACCCUUUAGGUUAUUCACAGAUCAGUGGGUUUUCCAGCUAAUACAGGUCUGAUGCUCUUCUGUCUUCACACAUGGUAUUCAUCAUAUCUUGACAAGAAAAGACCUUCAGUCUACAAAUAACCUUCACUGAAGUAAGACAUGAAACUGGAUUCUUAAAUCAGGCCUUCCAAAAGAACAUAAAAUUAGAAUUGCCUGCUGAAUGAAGACAAUUCAGAAAGCAAGCUAGUAUAAUCCCAAAAUUCCCAAAUGCUCUUUUCUCAAUGAUACUUCUAUCUACGAUGCUGCAGAUGACUGCCCCUCCACAAACAGUCAUCAAAUUAUGCCACUUGAAUGCCCCAAAAUGGAGAGAUGGGCGUGGGAAGAGAAAGACACCUCAGCAACACAGAGCUGAGAAAACACUUCUGCUGACCAGCUAUGACACCCAAUUUUAUAUAUGAGGAAAUUAAGGCCCAGGAAGGUCACAGAGCUAAGAAGAAACAGAGCUAAGACUUGAAUCCAAGUUUGGAGAAAAUCAUACACACGAAAAUUAACAUAGCUCUGAGCUCCCUGACCAUCCAGAUUCAAGAAGAGGAAACGCAGAUGCCAUCUGUGAUGGUUAGCAUUAUGUGUCAACUUGAUUGGAUUGAAGGAUGCUUAAAUAGCUGGUAAAGUAUUGUUUCUGUGUGUGUCUAUGAGGGCGUUGCCAGAGGAGAUUGACAUUUGAGUCCGUGGACUGGGAGAGGAAGACACACCCUCAGUAUGGGUGGGCACCAUCCAAUCGGCUGCCAGACCAGCUAAAACAAAGCAGAUGGAAGAAGGUGGGAUAAGCCGGCUUGCUGAGUUUUCUGGCUUCCAUCUUUCUCCCCUGCUGGAUGUUUCUUGCCCUUGGACAUCAGACUCCAGAUUCUUCGGCCUUUGGACUCUUGGACUCACUCUAGUGGUUUGCCUGGGACUCUCAGGCCUUCGGCUACAGAUUGAAGGCUACGCUGUCGACUUCUUUACUUUUGAGGCUCUUGGACUUGGAAUGAGCCACUGCUGGCUUCCUACCUCCUCAGCUUGCAGAUGGCUUAUCAUGGGACUUCACCUUGUGAUCGUGUGAGUUAAUUCUUAAUAAACUCCCUUUCAUAUAUACACCUACCCUAUUAGUUCUGUCCCUCUGCAGAACCCUAAUACACCAUCCUUUAAUAGAAGAAUAUCAAUAUCCUAUUAUAAAAAGAAUACAAGAAUACAAAAUAAUAUAUAUUCCAAAUUGUUGUAUUCUUUAUAUACAUCACACAUAUAUAUCACACAUAUAUGUAUGUGUGUGUAUGUAUUGCACCAUUUUAGACAAAUACAAUCUGUUACCCACACUCACUGAAGUGGCUUAAAAAAAAUAGCUCCAGAACAGAGAUGAAACAGCCUUGCAUUGGCAAGAGGAUAGUUUUUCUGUUAAGGAGGGGCUAGGCCAGGAAUUCAGCUGACUGUGAGCCAAUUUAAAGAGAACAAGGAGAACCAAGAAAGCUAUGCAAGCCAGGUUUAGG
rnacentral:lncRNA from 1 species